AGCAGUCACUUUCACCAAACUUAACUUCACCCGAGUUCUCUUUCAGGCUGGUAAAGACCCACAUCGCUGAUUCAACGACUGAAAAAUUGACCUCGCUGUUGACGUCAUGGGCGGCUGCGCUCCAACUACUUCUCCAGCCUUUGACAACAUUCCCUGAACACUUGGAAAAGCAGUUCAGCAGUUUUAGCUGGGAUGUGAUGAUCAUCUCUUUGAAGAAGUGCCAGGCUCCAGCCGUACAUGUUUCCUGAUAGCGCUGCUUUCCAUCACCGGAGGAGAGCGAGAGAGAGAGAGGCUGAGCGAGCAGAUGGAGGGAAGCAAUCCCACAACCCCUGGAAAGAAAAAAAAGAGUGUCCCGCUUUCUUCAACACUGAUAAAUAAGCAUGUGAUUGUAAUAUUAGUUUGUUUCCAUAGCAACUCACUCCAGUCACAGGAUUGAGCAGAUGUUUGACUUCAUUGAUUGAAGAAGAGCACAUCAUGUAUGCCGGCCAUUAAGAAACGUCCAUGCGGUAUUCGGGACUUGAUUAUUACUCUCUCAGAUUCAUAAGUGAUUAGAAAAGUGAUUCAGGUGGAUCUCAGACUCAGCAGCAGGCUGUGUCUUCUGAUUACGACACACUCAGGAAAAUAACCCUCAGUAAGAAUUAGCGC
ensembl:lncRNA